UGACGGUAUCUAACCAGCAAGUCACGGCUAACUACGUGCCAGCAGCCGCGGUAAUACGUAGGUGGCAAGCGUUAUCCGGAUUUAUUGGGCGUAAAGGGAACGCAGGCGGUUUUUUAAGUCUGAUGUGAAAGCCUUCGGCUUAACCGGAGAAUAGCAUUGGAAACUGGAAGACUUGAGUGCAGAAGAGGAGAGUGGAAUUCCAUGUGUAGCGGUGAAAUGCGUAGAUAUAUGGAGGAACACCAGUGGCGAAAGCGGCUCUCUGGUCUGUAACUGACGCUGAGGUUCGAAAGCGUGGGUAGCAAACAGGAUUAGAUACCCUG
rnacentral:rRNA from 1 species